rnacentral:rRNA from 1 species
UACGUAGGGUGCAAGCGUUAAUCGGAAUUACUGGGCGUAAAGCGCACGUAGGCGGCUUUGUAAGUUAGAGGUGAAAGCCCGGGGCUCAACUCCGGAAUUGCCUUUAAGACUGCAUCGCUAGAAUUGUGGAGAGGUAAGUGGAAUUCCGAGUGUAGAGGUGAAAUUCGUAGAUAUUCGGAAGAACACCAGUGGCGAAGGCGACUUACUGGACACAUAUUGACGCUGAGGUGCGAAAGCGUGGGGAGCAAACAGG